rnacentral:rRNA from 1 species
CUACGGGGUGCUGCAGUGGGGAAUAUUGGACAAUGGGGGAAACCCUGAUCCAGCAAUGCCGCGUGUGUGAAGAAGGCCUGCGGGUUGUAAAGCACUUUCGGUUGGGAGGACUGCUUCUAGCACUAAUAUUGUUGGAAGUUGACGUUACCUUCAGAAGAAGCACCGGCUAACUCCGUGCCAGCAGCCGCGGUAAUACGGAGGUGCAAGCGUUAAUCGGAAUUACUGGGCGUAAAGCGCGCGUAGGCGGCUAGAUCAGUCGGGUGUGAAAGCCCCGGGCUUAACCUGGGAACUGCAUCCGAACUGUCUAGCUUGAGUACAGGAGAGGAGAGUGGAAUUCCACAUGUAGCGGUGAAAUGCGUAGAUAUGUGGAGGAACACCAAUGGCGAAGGCAGCUCUCUGGCCUGAUACUGACGCUGAGGUGCGAAAGCGUGGGGAGCAAACAGGAUUAGAUACCCUCGUAGUC